rnacentral:rRNA from 1 species
UACGUAGGUGGCAAGCGUUGUUCGGAAUUACUGGGCGUAAAGGGUGCGUAGGCGGCUUUCUAAGUCGGAUGUGAAAACUCUGGGCUCAACCCAGAGCCUGCAUCUGAAACUGGAGAGCUAGGGUUCUGGAGGGGAAAGCGGAAUUCCUGGUGUAGCGGUGAAAUGCGUAGAUAUCAGGAGGAACACCGGUGGCGAAGGCGGCUUUCUGGACAGAUACCGACGCUGAGGCACGAAAGCUAGGGGAGCAAACAGG